UGUGGACCUUCAUAUUCCUUUCUAUCCUGUCUCUAAACGUCUGUCAGGCUGCUGCACAAGAAAACUCGACGCAAAAGUACUAUGUCAAACUGAAAAUAGACAAAAAUGCAAUCGGAAACAUAACCGAGCUACUGAGACCUUUUGUGGACGACACCAACCUGAGCGUCGAUGAUUUGAAAAUGACGACAGAGUGUAAGGAGGACUCGGCAGGUGUAAAGUGUAGCUGCAAACCAAACCACAGGUGGAGUGACGACGUUUGUUGGUCUAACAAGACGUGUUGUGGCGACUCAGAAUGCACCUUCCCAACAAACUCAGAUCAAAUGUGUGUUUCUGUCCAUUCAGUUGCUGUUUCAGGGUCUCUCACUCUGGGACAAAAUCAUUCCAAUUGUCUGAGAGAGAGCACAUCUGAAGAAUACAAGAAAUGUAAUGACACAUUGUUCAUAGAGAUGAAGAGAGUGUACAGCACUAUCAGGGGAUUUGUCACCUUAACAAUCAC
ensembl:lncRNA